UAAUGCGUGACCAACCUCGCCCCAUGCUCCAGAAUAGCUCUUGGAAACGGGUGGUAAUGCUGGAUGCUCCAACUUGACGCAUGUCUUGUUGGGAAAGUGUUUAGUGGCAUGGGAUGGGGUCGCGUCCUAUCAGCUUGUAGGCGGGGUAAUGGCCCACCUAGGCUUCGACGGGUAGCCGGCCUGAGAGGGCGGACGGCCACAUUGGGGACUGAGAUACGGCCCAGACUCCUACGGGAGGCAGCAGCC
rnacentral:rRNA from 1 species